AUUGAACGCUGGCGGAAGGCCUAACACAUGCAAGUCGAGCGGAGCGGCGGACGGGUGAGUAUUGCCUAGGAAUCUGCCUGGGAGUGGGAGAUAACGUCCGGAAACCGGCGCUAAUUCUGCAAACUCUCAGAUGAGCAUAGGUCGGAUUAGCUAGUUGGUGGGGUAAAGGCCUACCAAGGCGACGAUCCGGAACUGGUCUGAGAGGAUGAUCAGUCACACUGGAACUGAGACACGGUCCAGACGCCUACGGGAGGCAGCAGUGGGGAAUAUUGGACAAUGGGCGAAAGCCUGAUCCAGCCAUGCCGCGUGUGUGAAGAAGGUCUUCGGAUUGUAAAGCACUUUAAGUUGGGAGGCGUUACCAACAGAAUAAGCACCGGCUAACUGCGUGCCAGCAGCCGCGGUAAUAC
rnacentral:rRNA from 1 species